CAGAAAAAAAAACUUGUGCACCAAAAGUUUGAAAAAAAAAUUCGUGCAGAGACUUUUCAAUAGGGAAAAUUAUAAGUUGAGUUGUUGUUAUAAGUUUACUAUCAGGGGGAGGGGCAGAGGAGGCAAUUUGCCCCGAGCCCCCAGUGUAAGGGUGGCCCCCAAAUUUGAAAAAUAAAAAAAAUAAUUUGGAACGCUUUUUAUAUAAGUAAUGAU